rnacentral:piRNA from 1 species
UNGAUACAGGUGUGCCAGAACUUCUUGUA